UGUAUUUCUGGGAAGUUGUCCUUGUCACUCAAAGUCCCGCCCCCUCUACGUGCUGCUUCAUUAGCUUGAAUCUUCUGGAAGCUCCAGCCAGACCAGCAUGUUAGCCUACCUACUACCUGGACUUCAGACGAGAAAAAAGUCGAAGGUUGUUAGAACAGCUUGAUCAGCCACGCCAGGCUGACAGAGGGGACAGCCCACUGUGUCAGGGAUCCUGAGGUGACGGAGGCCAACCAGGUGCAGGGAUGGACUAUCCAGUGCCCUGGCAGUACUCAAAGUUGACCAACUAAAAAGUGGCAAGAGCACGGAAGGAUUUCCCCAGCGUCCCAGGUGCCGGAGUGUGUGCUCACUGAAGGAUCACUAGCAGUCCUCCAGCCCCGGCCCCCGUCCUGAUGAUGUAAUUAUUUCCCAGUGGCACCUGGGAGCCACGGCCGCCAUUCGGAGGCAUCGCUCACAGCCAACUCGCAAGUGGCUUCAGCAGCAUAUCCGCCUAGCCAUGUGGAAGACUGUGGUCACGCACAAUGAGUUCACGCAUUUGGCAUACCCAUAAAGCACGAUCAGCGAUGUUGCGCUCGAGUCCAAAUAUUUCCAGAAGAGCAGAUGAAGAAAGAAGUCGGGAGGCUGGAUCAGCUGGCCUGUGAUCUCCUGUGCGAGCCAAGCUGUCUGAUUGGCUGGAGGGCUGGAGGGCCAUCUUGCCUCCCUGGCAGGCAAGUGGCUCAAGCAGUUUGGUUGAGGAGACAACUGCACAAAUCAGUCUGAUUGAGGCUUUGCAGCAACCCAGGAGUCACUGUUUCACAGCAGCAAUAUUCCGACUUAAUGCCUUCAAGGAUCCUCCAAAAAGCCUCCAGCCGGUCACAGACAUCCACUUCCUCCUGAGGCACAAUCAAACCUCCCUCACCUCCUGGAGGAGCAUCUGUCUGGGCCUCCAGCCCUCAAGGACCAGAUAAGAUAGCAGGAGAUGAGCAGAGAGAUGCUCCAUUUGCUGCCAACAGGAUCCAUUUUUAAUGCUUUGGGGCAAUUUAAAGCCCCCUUUUAAUUACACAUAGGUCCCAGUAUACCAGGAGCCAUGGAUGGAGGGUAUGGGAAGAGUGUGAGAGCUCACUGGCCUCAUAGGUUCUUUGAUUCUGGUCUGGGGACCUCAGUGAGAUGCUGGAGUUGACGGCUGACCUCGCCAUUGAGUUCUUUAAGAAGUUGAGAGUCCCAGACGUGCCAGGGGGGAGGAUGAAAUGGGCUCCAUUUGUAUCUCUCAGCGACAGAUACUGGUCUGAACUGGCGGGAAAAGCACUUUCCAAGAGAGGCAGAAUAUCUCACGUAUGUCCCACCGGUGGAUCAUCCUGCUGGGUCAGGACUGGAGAUGUUAAGAGAUGCUGACACAGGUGGAUGGAUUUUAACUCUCAGGUGGUAGUAUCGUAUUUUGAAGAUCUACUUCCUGGUUUGGAUCAAGGAACCUAAAUCUUGGCUUGGUUUCCAGACUAUGGAGCCAGCUGUUUUAAAAUCUAUGGGAAAGGACACGCUAAAACCCAACAUAUCUAUGUUGUAUGACUUGUGAAAAUGAAAGAACACACUUCAGAGAGUGGUUUAACCACUGAUUUUUUUAUCCUAGUGAUAGAUAAGGCUGUUCAGCCAAAUAUCGCGGAUGAGACUGCAAUGACAUGGCAAACAGGAGCCUUUCCCAAAUUGAACUGAGGAAAAAAAAUCAGUUCUUGACCUACUCUCUGAAGUGUGUCCUUUCAUGUUCUUGAGGCAUUUCUCCAUCAGAAGUCAUACCAUGUAGACAUGUUGGGUUUAGUGUGUUUCUCCCAUUAACUUCAAUCAGUCUGGCACCAAAGCAAGUUAAAUGAUUUAAUGACCCUGUUCAGAUAACCAUACCAGCCUACCUACUACAGGUGUUGAGCUUGGAGUUUUGUAUUGCAUCGGAUAUCUGUACAGACGUUUAUUUCCCUUUCAACAUUUUUUUUAAUGUAAUAGUUAAUUAUUGUUUUAUCAUCUAAUUGCUCACUCUAAUGUACUGUAAAGCUGUGAUGUUGCCAUGUCUGCAGAUCUCACUUCAUACAUUUCUGCUUGUUCUAAUAGGUUUGAGGAUAAAUCUAAGGAAGUAGGUUGUAAAAUGGCUGAAUUUACCAAAAGACUACUGACCCUUUGCUGUUGCCAGACGACCUCUGAGCGCAGUGUCUGUUCAGCAGCAUUGUGCUUGAUGUCAUACAUCAUCCUCUGUAUUACACCGUCUCUCUGUUUGUCUGCUCCCUCCCCUCUGCCUGCUGUAGCUGAACUCUGGUCGCUGCGAUGCAUCACGGCCACUGUCUGAUCACCAGGGGGGUCGCGGACUGAGGUUGGCCCGGGCUUAGACCCGGUCUUCUCAGUCUCUGGCCUCUGAGAAAAUCAGGGCAUUUAAGACAGUGAUGAAGCCUUCCCUCUGGUGGAUUGGGUCACAUUGGCGUGUCUGUCACUUAGCCCGGCUGACUCUCCCCUCUCUAUCUCCCUCUCUGUCUGCCUGUCAGGAUGGCAGAUGACAGCAGGGGCCACCGGGGGAAUCGCUGGCUCCUGGUGAAGCUCCAUUUGCUGCCCUCCGUGGAGAAUCCCCCCCACCAGCUGUAUUUCAAGACCGUCGCACUGCUGUCACGGCAAAGUCUCCGGCAACAAGGCGAGGCCUCUCCCAUAAAACAUCAAAAGCGUCCGCUGCAAUGAAAACACAAGUGAGGGGGGCCUUGUCAAUCUUUACAGCCCCUCUUCUCAGUGACUGUAGCCACUACACACAGCUUCCACGCCAUUCAUUCAUUUUUCAUGCGGCACAGUCGGUGAUCCAAAAUGUGCCAUCUAUUCUGCAGCUGACAUGUCCAAACGACUGAGUUACCGUAUAAUGCCGCACAUAACGGAGCUGUCUGUGAAAAAGUUUUAUGAUAUGGAAAUAUGUUAAGAACCCAUGUGAUGAAUAGACAUUAUGGGGCCAGAAAUACCACUAACACAAGCUCAGCCCAUGCUGUGUUGUGGACAUUCAAAGCCUCAUUUUAUGUGCCGCUAAUGUUUGAGUGACAUGUUCUCAUAACGCUGUACAUGAAAGACAUCUGUGACAUAAAUUUAAAAACCAUUUUUACUCUUUCACAUUGUCAAAAUGUCUGUAGCAAGACUUGGAUUUCGGGUUUUUUAUUUUACAGCCCAAAGCAUUCCCUAGCACACAACAUUGAGUCAUUAAAGUCAAUUUAAUACGGUUAUGGGCUUCAGCAGCAGAGUACUAGUUAUUUUCGCAUUCUCCUUUUCUCAUCAAACAACAAUUUGUUUAAAACAUGCAUCUCCUUCCUAAAAAGCUAUACACAAAGCCAGUAUUUUGAAUAUGUCUGAAAGCUGCUUUGUUUUGUUUUUUAUUUACUAUUUUAAUCCCGCAAGGGGAAAUUAUUUUUUCCACUCACAGAACACACAAACACAAUCUCAAUGUAUAAAAUAGUUGAGUUAAGGGGCUACCACACAUGUUUUGGAGCCCAAAGAGCAGUGUUGUGGCUUGGUACUUUGCUAAAGGGCACCUCGACAGUGCUUAAUAUUCUCCAGCUACUCCAAAUCCCCAAGUCAAGUCCCUACUUCCGCCACUAAAUAAAUACAUACUCCCCGUCGGGGAAUCGAACCCCGGUCUUCCGCGUGACAGGCGGAGAUACUGUCCACUAUACUAACGAGGAAGUGGUGGUUGUGCAGUAGUAGCAGGUUGACUGGAAGGUCAGUAGCAGGUCACAUCCCUGUAUGCAUUAGCAAGAUAUAAAUAGAAUGGGGACCUUUUCAGGAAAACAGUCCUCCGAAGCACCUCAAGUUUAUUUAAGUUUAUUUGACCUCGGGGGUAGCAGAAAAAACUGUUGUUAUCCGUUAUUACUAAUCAUUGGAUGUACAAAUUGUGUGUAAAGUGGCAAGCAACUAAAUGAAACACACCGUUGCUUUGGGUGAAAUUAUUGAUUCAUCUGAGAUUGAACAUUGUUUUUACUUGGCUAAAAAUAACCAGAAAGAAACCAUACUGUAAUGACUUGGAACAUAAGUUUUACUUUAUCUCCCUCAAGUUUUACAGUUACAGUUUUGAGGGCAGAACAGACAAAAAACCUCAUAGGUCGUUUUAGACUAAACUGCGAGGAGUUUGAAGACUUGUUGAUUAUGCGUUAAAAGACUUUCACACACCAGUUGGAAUACUCAUCAAUACUGACAUGUUUAAUCCUUAAAUUCUGAGAUUAAACAGACUAAAUCUGAAAUUAGAUAUCAGUCGUGGAGAAGGAGGCUGUUUGAUUUGAAGAAAACAGAGAAACAGAAUGCCUCAGAAGUGCCUGCUGGCUCUGUCUGGUCGUGUUUUUGUUUAGGCGUCCUUGUGCAGAAUGAGGUGAUGUUGUUCUAGGACAUUAAAGUCUCUCUUUGAAGGCAUCUUGAAACAUCAACACUGCAUCUGCCCUCCAUUCUUCCAUCCAUAAUCCUUAAAACUCUGUUAAGAACUGAGGACCAUCCAAAAUACCCCCAAACAAAAACGUCUUCACUGUGGAGGUCUACAAGUCAAAGAGGCUUUCAUAGAGAUAGAAGCACAGGACACACACACACACACACACACACACACACACACCACCCCCACAGAGAUGAAUCCUGUAUGCAUUAUGUCCAGACUGACACGUAAAGAGGCCCUAGAUUAACUGCUCCCCCCUCCAGACUUUUUUAUCCCCUCCGUUCCAGGGGCCACGCUCAUUUACAUAAACAGAUAAUACUUGAUAAAAAUUUCCAUUAGACAAAGGUGAAAUGGAUCAAUUUCUGCUGCCAAGAUAAAUCUCACGUUUUACACCGACAGGGUCAUUACACAAGCCACAUUUCAGGAAUAAUGUAUUUAAAAAGUCCGCCGAUAGCGGCCAUUUCCCGCUUUCCAAUUACCUUAAAGAAAAGCUUAUUCUGUGGACAAUAAAGCACAUUACGGCACAAUAUGAUACAGUCCAUAAAGAUCAGCGUGUUUGAUGAGAGGUUAGCGAAAGCUCAGCAUAUUUCGGAGGGGAUGUCACAACCCCGUGGUUAUCGCUGACACCUCACUGUGCUCACCAUGCAAAUGUCCUAUUACGCCCAGUCCAAAUAGAUUAAGAGGCCUGUUCAGAAAUAAACACUUUUUUUCCUGUUUUUUUUUUUUUUUUUUUCAUUUCUGCAGUGAAGGUUGGAUGAGAGAAAGAUGGGAGGGGGAGAAGAAGGAGAAGAUAGGUUGGUUGUGUUGAGGAGGGGAAGGUGGGGGUGAGGUGGAUUGACAGGACAGCGAGGUGAUGCCAGCGGUCCGGGGCAGGGAGAGAACGGAAAAACUCAUUAGUUUGCUUCCACCCCAAUUCGCCGCUCUGCCUUUGACCUUGAGACAUCCACUCCCCUCCAUGCCCUGCCCACUCACCCCCAUGGCCCACUCCCCCACCCUCACCCCCUGUCUCCUAUUUUAGGUGAAUCACACUGCAGGGUUUAGCCGAGAGUGAGGGGGGCUGAAUGAGGCUUCCUCCUCUUGUGUUUCCCACAGAAUCAACUUUUAAAAAGAAAGAAGACUUUAUAGAAAUUGUCUGCAUCCUAAAAUAGAAUGCUAUAAUAAUUCUUGGAGCAAUUUCAUUUUCAUUUGAAACAAACUCAAAUAUUGAGCUUGAAGGUCCAUUGUUGACUUCAGAUACAGAAACAAAAAAAAAAAAUCCUUCACAUGUUCCUUCUUCAUUCUUUCUUCUGAAGCUUUCAGCCGCAUAUCAUAGUCUCCCUCCGCUGAUGGAGUUUGCUCAGUUGUCAUGGACGGUUUUAUGUGACCACCUGUUAUCAUGUGACCACAAGUGAGCAACUGAGCAGGGUUUCUUUGCUGAGAACGCCCAAAAGAUGUGUCUGAAAGUGUCAGAACAAAUAAGCAAGUUGACCUUGUGAUGAAUUGUUCGUGAAAAAUGUGGAAUAUUCUUGGACCGGAAGAUUUUUACUUGCUUUAGGAAAGUAAGGCUUUAAAGGGAAUUACAUUUUACAUACACUGAGUAAUGUACUUCAACUCCAAUCUUUUUCCAACUCCAAUUAUUUUUUGUCUAAUCUUCCUACACAACAUCAAUCCAAAGGCACUCUGUGUGGAAAUGGUGUUAGAAUUUUGCGUCAGUGUUUCAAGACAUUGCAAGUCGAAGAAAUGACAGGAAGACACAUGAUUACAAAACUGAAAUGACAUUUACUCAAGUAUUGACAUGUGUUACAUUUUUGGAUAUCAUCAGUUGCGCAUUUUCAUUUUGUAGGUCAUGCUCACACUGCUCCUCAUAAAAUAUGCUUUUUAAUCCUCUUUAAUCAGCAGUUACUUAUAUAAAUAUAAUAUUAAUUAAUUUUUGUGACUUUAGGUACAUUACUUUUGGUUUGAAGUUUUUUUGUAACUUUAUCUUAUAAUGCAUUCAUUUUGCAUUGUGAUAUGUGUGUGUGUGUGUGUGUGUGUGUGUGUGUGUCGUCCCCUCCAUUAUGGAGACAGAACAACCCCUCUGCUGUGAACAAAGUGCCUCUCUUUUGUCCUGGCUGCCUUGCUGGCUGGAAACCCAAAGUCUCCUCUCAGCUUCCAACCUGAGGAUGCGUACUUUACUCGCGAGGCAUUCAUUUUGCAUUAGGAUGAGCUGCAAUUCUCCCCGCGUGGCAGCAUGUGCUGUGGACUCACAGGGUCGAGAUGCCUGCAGAGAUGUGGGAGGAAACAAAAGAAAUCAGCUGCAGAGACCUUUUCUGUCCCACAACUCCCCCCCACCCCUUUACGCCAGGAGACAUGAAACCCAUUAUCUUGAUGGGAUCAGGCAGCAUCCAUCUUAAUACUGGACUGCAUAUGAUGACAAUGAUGAUCCCCAGAGCAACAUGCCACCAGCGCGAGAGCUUCCUGGCGGCAGGUUUGGAGCAAAUCCCAAGAGAGAGAUCUUAAAAAAAAAAAAAAAAAAACACUUACAAAAAGGCCCGGCUUGUAUCUCAAUCUGGUUUAAUCCAACUGUGAAUUAUUUAUCAAACCAGAUCUGUCUGUGUGUGUGUCUGUCCAUCACUGCAUCCAUUUUUCAUCCUCCACGGGUCCCAAUCCUGUCAUUUCCUUAAUCAUAACUUCAAUUAUUGCCCUGAUCUAAUGCACUAACUUUUAAUAAAUCAUACCAGUUGAAACA